rnacentral:rRNA from 1 species
UACGUAGGGGGCAAGCGUUGUCCGGAUUUAUUGGGCGUAAAGAGCGUGUAGGCGGCUAGGUAGGUCCGUUGUGAAAACUCGAGCUCAACCUCGAGACGCCGGUGGAAACCAUCUAGCUAGAGUCCGGAAGAGGAGAGUGGAAUUCCGUGGUGUAGCGGUGAAAUGACGCAGAUAUCAGGAAGAACACCCGUGGCGGAGGCGGCUCUCUGGGACGUGACUGACGCUGAGACGCGAAAGCGUGGGGAGCGAACAGG